AAUACAUCGGAAUCUACCUUUUCGUGGGGGAUAACGUAGGGAAACUUACGCUAAUACCGCAUACGACCUUAGGGUGAAAGCGGAGGACCUUCGGGCUUCGCGCGGAUAGAUGAGCCGAUGUCGGAUUAGCUUGUUGGCGGGGUAAAAGCCCACCAAGGCGACGAUCCGUAGCUGGUCUGAGAGGAUGAUCAGCCACACUGGAACUGAGACACGGUCCAGACUCCUACGGGAGGCAGCAGUGGGGAAUAUUGGACAAUGGGCGCAAGCCUGAUCCAGCCAUACCGCGUGAGUGAAGAAGGCCUUCGGGUUGUAAAGCUCUUUUGUUGGGAAAGAAA
rnacentral:rRNA from 1 species